GACGAACGCUGGCGGCGUGCCUAAUACAUGCAAGUCGAACGAACCGCGACUAAGUGCUUGCACUAAGUCAAGGUGAGUGGCGAACGGGUGAGUAACACGUGGGUAACCUACCUCAUAGUGGGGGAUAACAGUCGGAAACGACUGCUAAUACCGCAUAGGACAUAGGAUCACAUGAUCCAGUGAGGAAAGGUGGCGCAAGCUAUAGCUAAGAGAUGGACCCGCGGUGCAUUAGCUAGUUGGUAGGGUAAAGGCCUACCAAGGCGAUGAUGCAUAGCCGACCUGAGAGGGUGAUCGGCCACAUUGGGACUGAGACACGGCCCAAACUCCUACGGGAGGCAGCAGUAGGGAAUCUUCCGCAAUGGACGCAAGUCUGACGGAGCAACGCCGCGUGAGUGAAGAAGGUCUUCGGAUCGUAAAGCGCUGUUGUUAGAGAAGAACAGCGCAUAGAGUAACUGCUAUGCGUGUGACGGUAUCUAACCAGAAAGCCACGGCUAACUACGU
rnacentral:rRNA from 1 species